rnacentral:rRNA from 1 species
GGCCACAGCGGCGAGGUACCUCCCGUACCCAUCCCGAACACGGAAGAUAAGCUCGCCAGCGUUUCGGGGAGUACUGGAGUGGGAGACCCUCUGGGAAAUCCGAUUCGCC